rnacentral:rRNA from 1 species
GGGCUGGACCUCUCGGGGUUACAGCCUUGCUGAAUUAUUCACCCUUGUCUUUUGCGUACUUCUUGUUUCCUUGGUGGGUUCGCCCACCACUAGGACAAACAUAAACCUUUUGUAAUUGCAAUCAGCGUCAGUAACAAAUUAAUAAUUACAACUUUCAACAACGGAUCUCUUGGUUCUGGCAUCGAUGAAGAACGCAGCGAAAUGCGAUAAGUAGUGUGAAUUGCAGAAUUCAGUGAAUCAUCGAAUCUUUGAACGCACAUUGCGCCCUUUGGUAUUCCAAAGGGCAUGCCUGUUCGAGCGUCAUUUGUACCCUCAAGCUUUGCUUGGUGUUGGGCGUCUUGUCUCUAGCUUUGCUGGAGACUCGCCUUAAAGUAAUUGGCAGCCGGCCUACUGGUUUCGGAGCGCAGCACAAGUCGCACUCUCUAUCAGCAAAGGUCUAGCAUCCAUUAAGCCUUUUUUUCAACUUUUGACCUCGGAUCAGGUAGGGAUACCCGCUGAACUUAAGCAUAUCAAUAAGCGGAGGAAAUA